GCUGACAUAACAAUGGGAUGUCUCUGGAGGACAUGUCACAGGGCGAACCAUGGCUGCCACAUUGUUGCCCAUAAAGUCAAACAGAAGGAACAAGCACUAGGCCUGACCAGGCAGGAUGUACACCAGCAGCUGCCUCCCAAUGCUUCAAGGUACCAAGAAUUGAGGAAUGCGUUCAAUAUUCUUUACUCCUUGGAAGCCAUCAAUCUUGAGGGUCUUUCAUCUGCAUCAAAAGCCUUCAUUAUAGGUGCCCCAACUUCAUGUGGCCCAUCUGAGAGACCUCCUGAGUUCCCCAAUAACAACUGAAGAUCUCCAUCUUUGAGUACUGUGCACACUGAAGUGUAAUACUCCGCAUGUGAACUGGAAAGGAUCAGAGUCAACUCACCACAUCAUCUGUCUUCCAUUCUCUAAACUCUUGGUAUUUUUUUCUCUCUGAACAAUAAAUGACUCUUCAAUCAGAA